GUUUCCGUAGGUGAACCUGCGGAAGGAUCAUUACCGAGUGCGGGAACCCAGUCGGGUCCCAAUCUCCCACCCGUGUCUACCACACCUAGUGUUGCUUUGGCGGGCCCACUCCUCCGGUGUUCCGCCGGGGGGGUCGUCCCGGGGCGCGGUGUGCCCCCGGGGCCCGUGCCCGCCAGAGGCACUCACUGUGAACGCUUUUGUGAAUGCGAGGAUUGUCUGAGUGACGAAAUGCAAUCGUUCAAAACUUUCAACAAUGGAUCUCUUGGUUCCGGCAUCGAUGAAGAACGCAGCGAAAUGCGAUAAGUAAUGUGAAUUGCAGAAUUCCGUGAAUCAUCGAAUCUUUGAACGCACAUUGCGCCCUCUGGUAUUCCGGGGGGCAUGCCUGUCCGAGCGUCAUUGCGAACCCUCAAGCACGGCUUGUGUGUUGGGCCGCCGUCCCCUCGUUUGGAGGGGACGGGCCUGAAAGGCAGCGGCGGCGUCGCGUCCGGUCCUCGAGCGUAUGGGGCUCUGUCACGCGCUCAAGGAGGGGUCCGGCCGGGGCCAUAGCCUCUGAAGGUCAAUUCUUCCAAGGUUGACCUCGGAUCAGGUAGGAGUACCCGCUGAACUUAAGCAUAUCAAU
rnacentral:rRNA from 1 species